rnacentral:lncRNA from 1 species
UCAGAAUUCCUCACUGCUGAUAAACCCUAGCGACGCCGCCCUAAAUUCUCCACUGUCCCAGGGCGGCAGCGCUGUUGCAAAGCGACCCCAAAGUAACACCCCUAACACCUCCUCCAUCUCCUCUUUGCCAAUCUAUGCUCCAUUCCCCUCUAAUAUGUAUGGAACGUGUCGAAUUUUGAAUCUGAGGUUGAGCCCUAGAGGCCCAAAUCCUAAAUCUAUACAUGCGGGUUGCUGUUCUGUUUUUUGUUUUUUUUUUGAGUUUUGGUUUGAUUUUGUUCCUUAAGGAUGUUGUUCGGUUGUUAUUACUAAGAAUAAACGAUUGAUGUUCUUAGGGUACAAAAUCAGAGGGUCU